rnacentral:rRNA from 1 species
AUACGGAGGGUGCAAGCGUUACUCGGAAUCACUGGGCGUAAAGCGCGCGCAGGCGGUCUUUUAAGUUGGAUGUGAAAGCCUACGGCUCAACCAUAGAACUGCAUCCAAAACUGUCAAACUAGAGUCUGGGAGAGGAAGAUGGAAUUAGUUGUGUAGGGGUAAAAUCCGUAGAGAUAACUAGGAAUACCAAAAGCGAAGGCGAUCUUCUGGAACAGUACUGACGCUGAGGCGCGAAAGCGUGGGGAGCAAACAGGAUUAGAAACCCCGGUAGUCC